UACAGAGGUCUCAAGCGUUGUUCGGAUUCAUUGGGCGUAAAGGGUGCGUAGGCGGCGCGGUAAGUCCGUUGUGAAAGUCAAAGGCUCAACCUUUGAACGCCGAUGGAUACUGCCGGGCUAGAGUCCGGAAGAGGCGAGUGGAAUUCCUGGUGUAGCGGUGGAAUGCGCAGAUAUCAGGAGGAACACCAAUAGCGAAGGCAGCUCGCUGGGACGGUACUGACGCUGAGGCGCGAAAGCGUGGGGAGCGAACAGG
rnacentral:rRNA from 1 species